AGGCUUAGUACUGAGUCUCAGGCUUGGGGCUUAGCUGUGUUCUCCCAGAGGCUUUUUUUUUUGUUUUGUUUUGUGCAUCAGCCCUAGCCUUGCACAGGCUAGGCAAGUGCUCUACCAGCCUGUGAGCCCUGUGCUGGGGAGAGAAAUGUGCCUUGUUAGAGGGAAGGCCUCCUUGCACUGCAGAUUCAUCAACUCAAGUGGGGUCCAGGAGCUGGCUUAAGUCUCCCCUUCCCAUCCUGUCUAAACAUUUCCAUGUAGGCCAGAGUCACACAGCUACACCAGGACACCUCUCAUCCAUCAAUACUUCUCAAAAGCUUACACAGCUAAACAUAGGAAGGCACUAACUUCCCAGCAGCUCCCUCUGCUGGUAAUAACAAAAACUGCAGAUUCCUGCCAAUCCAAUUUUUACCUC
rnacentral:lncRNA from 1 species